GGUAAAGUGGCCGAGUGUUCAGGCGGUAGGCUGUAGACUUACUCACGGGGGUUAAACUCCUCUUUUUAUCA
rnacentral:tRNA from 1 species